UCGAGGAUCUUCGGCAAUGGGCGCAAGCCUGACCGAGCGACGCCGCGUGCGGGAUGAAGGCCUUCGGGUUGUAAACCGCUGUCAGUGGGGAGGAAGGCUCCGUGAAGAGCGGGGUUUGACCUAUCCGCAGAGGAAGCAAGGGCUAAGUUCGUGCCAGCAGCCGCGGUAAGACGAACCUUGCAAACGUUAUUCGGAAUUACUGGGCUUAAAGGGUGCGUAGGCUGUGCAGAAAGUCAGGUGUGAAAUACCUCAGCUUAACUGAGGAAUUGCGCCCGAAACUACUGUGCUAGAGGAAGACAGAGGUAAGCGGAACUUAGGGUGGAGCGGUGAAAUGCGUUGAUAUCCUAAGGAACACCGGUGGCGAAAGCGGCUUACUGGGUCUUAUCUGACGCUGAGGCACGAAAGCUAGGGUAGCGAACGGGAUUAGAUACCCCCGUAGUCC
rnacentral:rRNA from 1 species